rnacentral:rRNA from 1 species
AGAGUUUGAUCCUGGCUCAGAUUGAACGCUGGCGGCAUGCCUUACACAUGCAAGUCGAACGGCAGCGCGGGGGCAACCCUGGCGGCGAGUGGCGAACGGGUGAGUAAUACAUCGGAACGUGUCCUGGAGUGGGGGAUAGCUCGGCGAAAGCCGGAUUAAUACCGCAUACGCUCUAUGGAGGAAAGCGGGGGAUCUUCGGACCUCGCGCUCAAGGGGCGGCCGAUGGCGGAUUAGCUAGUUGGUGGGGUAAAGGCCUACCAAGGCGACGAUCCGUAGCUGGUCUGAGAGGACGACCAGCCACACUGGGACUGAGACACGGCCCAGACUCCUACGGGAGGCAGCAGUGGGGAAUUUUGGACAAUGGGGGAAACCCUGAUCCAGCAAUGCCGCGUGUGUGAAGAAGGCCUUCGGGUUGUAAA